rnacentral:tRNA from 1 species
GCCCCGAUGGUGAAAUUGGUAAACACAGCAGACUUAAAAUCUGCCGACUUAACGGUCUUACCGGUUCGAUUCCGGUUCGGGGCA